UGCGGUUUGAUGUAAAAGUAACAUAAUUGGCUCAUGACCAAGAUAUAUUGGUGCAAUUCCUUUAUCCGCAC
rnacentral:tRNA from 2 species